CAGCCGCCGCGGUAAUACGAAGGGGGCUAGCGUUGCUCGGAUUUACUGGGCGUAAAGGGCGCGUAGGCGGACAGUUAAGUUGGGGGUGAAAGCCCGGGGCUCAACCUCGGAAUUGCCUUCAAUACUGGCUGUCUUGAGUAUGAGAGAGGUGUGUGGAACUCCGAGUGUAGAGGUGAAAUUCGUAGAUAUUCGGAAGAACACCAGUGGCGAAGGCGACACACUGGCUCAUUACUGACGCUGAGGCGCGAAAGCGUGGGGAGCAAACAGGAUUAGAUACCCCGGUAGUCCCUGUCUCUUAUAC
rnacentral:rRNA from 1 species